UGCUCAGUAGUCCAACGGUAAAGCGCUCGUCGUGGAGCCAGAGGGUCCUGGGUUCGAUUCCCAAUAGGGUCA
rnacentral:tRNA from 1 species